ensembl:lncRNA
ACUCAGAAGGCUCUGCAAAUGCAGCAACACAGCUUGGAAGAACUGAAGACAGAGCUUUCACUGCAUGAAGAUUGUGUUCAUCAGUGGGUUUCAGAUGGGCAGAAGGUAUUAUUUUGAUUUGCUUUGUAAUUAUUCUUAUCAUUGGCAGGUAAUAUAUAUAGAUGCUUUUGCAUUUUCUUGUGUAGAAAGUGACCGACAUGGGAGUGGUGAUAUGAGAAGGCUUCAAGAGGAAAUAGAAGGUCUAACAGUCAGCAUCAAAAGGCGUACACAGUGUCUGUACAGUCAAACAGAUAGCAACAAGCGGCGCCAUUCUUUGCGCCUCAGAAGGACUGAAGAGAAAAAGAAGCUAGUUGCUGCAGUGGAAGAGUACAACAGCAUAGCAGAUCCAUCCCAGAAGCUUGGCUCAGUUGAAGACUUCUUCACAGCUGAAACUGUUGCUUGGCCUUGGCAAAUCCCUAGCAGUACUGAAUCGGCUCCAUUUCUCCCCAAGAGGAAGGUGUUUGACAAGGUGAUGGCAGUGAGACACCUUCAGGAAGAGAGAGGUCUAAUUUGUAAGGAGAUGAAACAGCACUGGACGGUCAUGACACAGAUGAUGUCCAAAUUUGAAGCACUGAUUAAUGACUUAAGUUCAAAAUCUCUUUUGCCAACCCUGUCUGACACUGCAUGCAAAGGUCUCCUGUCCAUUGUUCGAAAGAAACAUUAUGAACUUAAACAUUUAAUACAGUUGGUAAAGGCAGGCUAUGUGAAAAUCUUCAGCCAACAAGAUUUGAUGUCUGACGAAGAAAAGCUUGAACCGGAAGAUGACGUGCAAGAGGAAGAAUUACAGAAAGCGACAACAGCUCCGAUGAUGAAAAUGAUUUUCCUUAACAGAAUAAAUGUAAAGUUUAUUUACAUAACCCCCCCCCCCCCCAAAAAAAAAAAAGAUAAUUGGAAUGUGAAUCAGACUUUUGCCUUUAAAUGUCACAUAGAGCAAUUCGAUCAGAAGGCCUGUUUGUCUGUCGGUGUUGAUUGUGUCAACUGUUCUGUAACUACUUGAUGUGUCUUUGAACAAUAACCUAAUAAAUUACACGUGGCUAAUUACA